rnacentral:rRNA from 1 species
UAUAAAGUGGCGAACGGCUGAGUAACACGUGGGCAACCUGCCCUUUGCACUGGGAUAGCCUCGGGAAACCGAGGUUAAUACCGGAUACUCCAUAUUUGUCGCAUGGCGAAUAUGGGAAAGCUCCGGCGGCAAAGGAUGGGCCCGCGGCCUGUUAGCUAGUUGGUGGGGUAGUGGCCUACCAAGGCAAUGAUGGGUAGCCGGGUUGAGAGACCGACCGGCCAGAUUGGGACUGAGACACGGCCCAGACUCCUACGGGAGGCAGCAGG